rnacentral:ncRNA from 2 species
UUUUGGGAGGAUUGACAGAUUGAGAGCUCUUUCUUCAUUCGGUGGAUAGUGGUGCAUGUCCGUUCUUAGUAGGGGAGCGAUUUGUCUGGUUAAUAUCGAUAACGAACAAGACUCUAGUUUAAUAAAUAGGUGCGUGGUUCUCUGCACUCUUUACCCUUCUCAGAGGGACACGCGGCUCCUAGCCGCACGAAACAGAACAGUAACAUGUCUGUGAUGUCCUUAGAU